rnacentral:rRNA from 1 species
AGUAAAUAGAUACCCCGGUAGUCCACGCCCUAAACGAUGCAUAUUUGGUGUGGGCAGUUCAUUCUGUCCGUGCCGGAGCUAAACGCGUUAAAUAUGCCGCCUGGGGAGUACAGUCGCAAGGCUGAAACUCAAAGGAAUUGCCGGGGGCCCGCACAAGCGGUGGAGCAUGUGGUUCAAUUCGACGCAACGCGAAGAACCUUACCUGGGCUCGAACGGCCGGUCAACGGCGGUGGAAACAUCGCUACCCCGCAAGGGGGUCCGGUCGAGGUGCUGCAUGGCUGUCGUCAGCUCGUGUCGUGAGAUGUUGGGUUAAGUCCCGCAACGAGCGCAACCCUUGUCCUGUGUUGCCAUCAUUUAGUUGGGAACUCGCAGGAGACCGCCAGGGAUAACCUGGAGGAAGGUGGGGAUGACGUCAAGUCCUCAUGGCCUUUAUGUCCAGGGCUACACACGUGCUACAAUGGCCGGUACAAAGCGUCGCAAACUCGCGAGAGGGAGCCAAUCGCAAAAAAACCGGUCUCAGUUCGGAUUGCAGG